rnacentral:SRP_RNA from 1 species
ACGGCUGGUUUGCGCGAGAGUCUCCGUGAACCCGGUCAGGUCCGAGAGGAAGCAGCCGUAGCGGAAAGAUUCUGUGAUGCAAACCGGCCUUUGG